rnacentral:lncRNA from 1 species
GUGUAUUCGAGGAUUAACGAAUGAGAAGGAAUAAAGUGAAGGAUAUCUUAGUGGAGUGCAUCAUCCAUUUCCAGGGGGAACAGAAGCCAUCUGACUUGACCCCAUGGAGUACUUGCCAAGGAAGCUUGUACUAGUUCUAUUUUUGACUCUUCCAACAUGUGUUUUAAUUGGAAAGUGGCUUAGAGGUAAGAAACUCCUACUGUACCCACCCAGCCAGUUUUCCUAAGACACCACACCUGCACUUCAGUUCAUGGUCCCUAAAGGAACAAAAGCACUGCAGAUCGUAUGUGGUGUCUGACACCUCCAAGCACAGGCUUGGGAUAACAUCACCCAUCUUGGUGAUGUGAAAAACCCCAGUCCUGCUCAGGGGUGUCUGCAAUUUCAGGGAAGUGGCAUAGGUGUAUUAUCUUACUAGACACGUGAGAGAGGCAUGUUCAGCUUCUCCUGGGUCACAGAUCCAGGUCCUGUGGUCCAAGAGCCUGUGCAGAUUGCUUUGCAGGUUGUAAACUUGCAGAGACCGUAGACCAUUGCACAGGUCUUUGCACUUUACGUGUGAUUACUCUCUCCUAGCUCAGUGAGUUUGCUUUGUGGUCCUCCCACCAGUGUACCUAUUAUCUUCCUGAAUGAAUGUCCACAAUACCCAUGAAUAUGCAACACAGCUGCUGUGUAUAAAGUGAGGAAAUGUGGUAACUGUAAAGCAUGUCUUUGCCUGGAGGAGGGCAGACCCUGUCCUCACUACUGUAAAGGACUGUGAGACUCUAACCUGGAGCUGAGCUUUCUGUUUUGGAUUCAGCUAACGUGGUUUUCUUCCCUCUAUGGAAAGAUUACACUCACGGAGAAAAGCAAAGCUUUUGCUCCCACCUCUUCCUUGCAGGUGAAGUUCCUGUUGCCAUCAGCAUCGAACCAUUGGUUGUCCUUGUUGGAGAUCAAGUGACUCUGUCCUGCCAGGUGGCAGAGAGUGUCCCCUGUAACACGAGUGUGCUUUGGUAUAAAAUGGAAAAGGGGAGGGGUGCUCCAUUGUGCUCUUCCUCCAGCCUGGGUGGGGUGGUGGAGCAGUGCCAGGAUGAAGAAGAGUGGAGGAUCAUGGGACACUGGCAGGGAAGAGCACUUCUUCUGGUUAUUCGACAAGUGCAAAUAGCCGACGAGGGGACGUAUGUUUGUGCACUGAACGGCAGUGUUGUCACACACGAGGCUACUACUCACCUUGAUGUUACAGCAAUUGGGUACAAGCCAACAUUGGACAGGGAUCUGCAAGAGGAGAGUAUGUGUCGCUACAUGUGUAAGUCAAAAAAAUGGUACCCAAAGCCUGAAGUCUUUUGGAUGAGCUAUGGAGGAGACACAGUAAAUGUGGAGGCCGAGACCAAUGUAACCUGGAGCGAGAGAGACCAUUUCACAGUGCAGAGCAGCAUCACAGUGCCUUGUGAUAACGUAGAUGUGGUGUGUGUAGUCAAACUCCUCAAAUCCAAGAUAAGCCGAUCAGGUGCCAUGAAUGAAAUUAUUGUGCCACAGUCAACCACUUGUACGUACAAGGGCAGAAUAAGUGGGUCCUAUGUAAAGCCCAAAGUGAUGUGGGUUAAUCCCCAAGGAGAAGAUCUAUCUUCACUGGCCCACACAAGCAUUCUACAGGAGACGGAUAAUAUUUUUACAAUAGAAAGCUCCAUUGAGAUACCCUGUGGACAACUGCCACCUUCUUUUGUACCCACUGAGAGGGAACACUGUCCAUGGAUAGCUCAACAGCCAGGUAUGCCGCAGUUGAGACCUAUUUCACGUGCUUUGGCAUUCUCCAAGCAAGCGAAGCUACCCCUAUUUUGCUUGGUCACCUCAUCAUCCUCCACCAGUGAGAAGGAUGGGCCUAGGGCUGUGAACUAUUUCACUCUGUUUCCCACAACACUGGAUAGUUGA